rnacentral:rRNA from 1 species
GCCAGACUCCUACGGGAGGCAGCAGUGGGGAAUAUUGCACAAUGGGGGAAACCCUGAUGCAGCGACGCCGCGUGGGCGACGAAGCGCUUCGGCGCGUAAAGCCCUGUCAGCAGGGAAGAACAAAGACAGUACCUGACCAAGAAGCCCCGGCUAACUACGUGCCAGCAGCCGCGGUAAUACGCAGGGGGCAAGCGUUAUCCGGAUUCACUGGGCGUAAAGGGAGCGCAGGCGGCACGGCAAGUCUGGUGUGAAAGCCCGGGGCCCAACCCCGGGACUGCAUUGGAAACUGCCGGGCUGGAGUGCCGGAGGGGCAGGCGGAAUUCCUGGUGUAGCGGUGAAAUGCGCAGAUAUCAGGAAGAACACCGGUGGCGCAGGCGGCUUGCUGGACGGCAACUGACGCUGAGGCUCGAAAGCGUGGGGAGCAAACAGGAUUAGAUACCCCAGUA